ensembl:snoRNA
GGUUUAAUAGUGAUGGGUGACCAGGGCUCCCUGAGUUCUACAGGCCUCUGUUACGGGGGUGAUGGCCAGUCCUGGUGCUGACAGGUU